AUGACAAUAAAUUAUAAAAGCAUGGAUUUUUUGAGAUACGACUUGAACUACAAGUUUAACGAGAGCGAGGUUGAAAAAACUUUUAACAAAAACCAAAAGUAUGAAGCAAAAACUGGUUAUACGAUUAGUCACUCUUUGAACAAUAAGAAGUUAGAAAAUUUCAUUGAUGAAGGUACGUCAAAUUAUUUGAAUACAACAAAAACCGAUUUAGAAAAAAAGUUUCCCAAAAAUUAUAAAAAAAAUGAAGAUAGCUUUAAUAUGAGUAAUGAAAUGAUAAAAGACUAUGUCGAUGAAAAAAGAAAUACACUUAGUAUAACAUCUGAUGGUGCAAAGUCAUUAAUGUAUAAAAGUUAUAACAGUAAUAAAAUGAAAAAUAUCGAUAUGCAAGAUAAUAAUUAUGAUUACAAACAGGAUGGGAAAUAUAAUAGGAUAACUAGCUGUAAAAAUGAAGAUUUGAAUAAAAAUAUGGUUGAUAAAAAAUAUAUGAACAACAAUAAAGAAAUGAAUGAUAAAUUAAAAGGAGAUGAUUUAUCUGUAUAUAAUACAAAGAAACAUUAUUUAAUGGAUGAAAGAACCGACAGGAAUUUAAAAAAAAAAAAAAUAAAUGACAUAAUAAAUAAAUAUAAAAAAAACAUAACAACUUUUAUUGGAAAAUAUAACAGUAAUGAAGUAAAUAGUUUAGAGAAUAAUACAAAUGAUUCAAACAAUGUAGAAUAUAGUGAUAAAGGGGAUGAGUGUAAAUAUGAGCAGGCACAGAAUAAAUAUGGGCAGACACAAAAUAAAUAUGGGAAGGAACAGAAUAAAUAUGAGCAGGCACAGAAUAAAUAUGGGAAGGAACAAAAUAAAUAUGGGCAGACACAAAAUAAAUAUGUACAAAACAAACACGACGAUAUGAUUAUUGAGGAAAAAAAACCUAUAGACAGAAACGGGUGUGAGUUAAUUGAAUUAAAUGAGUUUAAAAAUAACAUAAAAAAUAAAUUAAUUUUUGAUUAUGAUAAAAUAAAAAAUAAUUUAAAAAUUGAUUUUAAAAAUUAUAAUGUUAAGGAUACUGAUUUAUAUAUAAAAAGGAAUGUCAGCUUAAAUAAAAACAACAAUACAAAUUUAUUAAAUUAUGAACAUAAAAACAGUAGCAAUAGAAACACUUCCAAUAAUAACAGUGGUAGUGGUAAUAAUAAUAGUAGUGGUAAUAAUAGUAGUAGUGGUAAUAAUAAUAGUAGUGGUAAUAAUAAUAGUAAUGGUAUACUUUUACAUUCUCAAAAAAAUAAUAAAAGCGAUAAGGUUAUAAAUGGUGAGAAUAUGUUAUUAAAUAAGUCUAAAAAAAAUAAUUUAAAAUCUAAAAUGUAUGAUACAACAGAAGAUUUACCAACUUCUUUACUUUCAUUGAACAUUCCAGAAAAACAAAAAAAAAAAAUAACUAUGAUAGAGUAUAAUAUUGAAAAAGAGGAUAAGGGGGAAAUGAAAAAUAUAGAUCUUAAACAAAAUAUGUUUAAUAAUAAUGAUAAUAGUAAUACAGUUUCUAAAUUUGAUUAUUUAUUUAAUGAAAAUAAAUUUUUAUCAGAUGAAUUAAAAAUAAAAGAAAAAUUUGAAAAAAUUAAAUUAUUAAAAAAUGAAAUUCUUUUAAAUGAAGAUUUGUCUGAUACUACCCAAAUAAAGAGGACUGAAGAGAAGCAGGAGAUAAUUCCACCAAAGUCUAUAAAUGUAAGGGAUCUAGGUACUGGUAAUUUACCUAAAAAUGGACACAUACCUAACAAUGGAAACAUACCUGGUGACAACUUAUAUCAUGAAAGUAUUGAUCAAGAAAAUAUUAAUCACGACAACGUAGAUCAUAACCUCCGUGACAACUCCACCUAUGAAAAAAAAAAUGUUGAUAAUAAAAAAGAAUUUAAAAAAGAGUAUAACAAUAAACCAAAUGUAUUGAGCGAUAUACUACCAAAUAACAAACCCAAAACAAUAAAUGCAUUAAAUGAAAAAAAUAAAAUAAACACAUUAUUAGAUAAAGAAAGAAAUAUAAAAGAAAAAAAGAAUCAUUUACAUGAACAUUUUUAUAAUGAAUAUAAAUUAGAUUUAAAAAAAAAAAUAAAUGAUUAUAAAUUAGAAAAAAAUGUUAAUACUUAUUUAUCGAAAUUUGAUGAAUAUAAUAAACAAAGUAAAAGUAAAUUUAUUACACAAGACAAAGAUUUUUUAAAAGAAAAUAAAAAAAAAGAAAAUAAGGUGAUGUAUGACUUAAAUAAAAGUUAUACAUUAGGUAAAGAGUGGAAUAUACAGGAAAAAGGAAAUGAAAAAAAAAAAAAAAAGGAUGAACAGGAAGUAGUACAUGUGAAAAAGGAUGCUAAUGCGUCAAAAGGGGAUGAUCCAUUGAAUGGGGAUGACCUAUCAAAUGGGGAUGACCUAUCAAAUGGGGAUGACCUAUCAAAUGGGGAUGGUUUAUCGAACGGGGAUGGUUUAUCGAACGAGGGUAACACAUCAAACGAGGGUAACACAUCAAA
rnacentral:lncRNA from 1 species